rnacentral:rRNA from 1 species
UGGGGAAUAUUGCACAAUGGGGGAAACCCUGAUGCAGCGACGCCGCGUGAGUGAAGAAGUAUUUCGGUAUGUAAAGCUCUAUCAGCAGGGAAGAAGAUGACGGUACCUGACUAAGAAGCACCGGCUAAAUACGUGCCAGCAGCCGCGGUAAUACGUAUGGUGCAAGCGUUAUCCGGAUUUACUGGGUGUAAAGGGAGCGUAGGUGGCAAGGCAAGCCAGAAGUGAAAACCCGGGGCUCAACCGCGGGAUUGCUUUUGGAACUGUCAUGCUGGAGUGCAGGAGGGGUGAGCGGAAUUCCUAGUGUAGCGGUGAAAUGCGUAGAUAUUAGGAGGAACACCGGAGGCGAAGGCGGCUCACUGGACUGUAACUGACACUGAGGCUCGAAAGCGUGGGGAGCAAACAGG